rnacentral:rRNA from 1 species
CGUACAGGCGUAACUACACUAGCAAGUCGAGGGGAAACGGGCGAUUUGGUUGCUUGUCACCGGACUGGACGUCGACCGGCGGCACGGUCGAGUAACACGUAUCCAACCUUCCCACUGACUGCGGGAUAACCUGCCGAAAGGCUGACUAAUACCGCAUGUUCUUCCCUGAAGACAUCUGAGGGGAAGCAAAGAUUCAUCGGUCAUGGCUGGGGAUGCGUCCGAUUAGCUUGUUGGCGGGGCAACGGCCCACCAAGGCGACGAUCGGUAGGGGUUCUGAGAGGAAGGUCCCCCACAUUGGAACUGAGACACGGUCCAAACUCCUACGGGAGGCAGCAGUGAGGAAUAUUGGUCAAUGGGCGCAAGCCUGAACCAGCCAAGUAGCGUGCAGGAUGACGGCCCUAUGGGUUGUAAACUGCUUUUUUGCGGGAAUAAAGUCGGCUACGUGUAGCCGUUUGCAUGUACCGCACGAAUAAGAACCGGCUAAUUCCGUG